CCUACGGGAGGCAGCAGUGAGGAAUAUUGGUCAAUGGCCGAGAGGCUGAACCAGCCAAGUCGCGUGAGGGAAGACGGCCCUACGGGUUGUACACCUCUUUUGUCGGGGAGCAAAGAGAGUCACGUGUGACUCAUUGAGCGUACCCGAAGAAAAAGCAUCGGCUAACUCCGUGCCAGCAGCCGCGGUAAUACGGAGGCUGCGAGCGUUAUCCGGAUUUAGUGGGUUUAAAGGGUGCGCAGGCGGAGGUGCAAGUCAGCGGUCAAAUUGCGGGGCUCAACCCCGUACUGCCGUUGAAACUGCAUCCCUUGAGUGCGCGAGAAGUAUGCGGAAUGCGGGGUGUAGCGGUGAAAUGCAUAG
rnacentral:rRNA from 1 species